rnacentral:tRNA from 1 species
AAAUAAGUAAGCUAAAUUAAGCUUUUAGGCCCAUACCCUAACUAUAGAAAAUAAUUAUUUUCUCUUAUUUA